rnacentral:rRNA from 1 species
AGUGGACGCUGGCGGUAGGCCUAACACAUGCAAGUCGAACGGCAGCACAGUAAGAGCUUGCUCUUACGGGUGGCGAGUGGCGGACGGGUGAGGAAUACAUCGGAAUCUACUUUUUCGUGGGGGAUAACGUAGGGAAACUUACGCUAAUACCGCAUACGACCUACGGGUGAAAGCAGGGGAUCUUCGGACCUUGCGCGAUUGAAUGAGCCGAUGUCGGAUUAGCUAGUUGGCGGGGUAAAGGCCCACCAAGGCGACGAUCCGUAGCUGGUCUGAGAGGAUGAUCAGCCACACUGGAACUGAGACACGGUCCAGACUCCUACGGGAGGCAGCAGUGGGGAAUAUUGGACAAUGGGCGCAAGCCUGAUCCAGCCAUACCGCGUGGGUGUAGAAGGCCUUCGGGUUGUAAAGCCCUUUUGUUGGGAAAGAAAAGCAGCAGGUUAAUACCCCGCUGUUCUGACGGUACCCAAAGAAUAAGCACCGGCUAACUUCGUG